rnacentral:misc_RNA from 1 species
GUGAAGAACGUAGCGAAAUGCGAUAAGUAAUGUGAAUUGCAGAAUUCAGUGAAUCAUCGAAUCUUUGAACGCACAUUGCGCCCGCCAGUAUUCUGGCGGGCAUGCCUGUUCGAGCGUCAUUUCAACCCUCAAGCCCAGCUUGGUGUUGGGGAUCGGCACAGGCGCCCUCGGGCGCCCGCCGUCCCCUAAAUCUAGUGGCGGUCCCGCUGCAGCCUCCUCUGCGUAGUAGUUUUCUCCUCGCAAGGGCAGCUCGGUGGCGACCUCGCCGUAAAACCCCCAACUUCUGAAAGGUUGACCUCGAAUCAGGUAGGAAUACCCGCUGAACUUAAGCAUAUCAAUAAGCGGAGGA